rnacentral:lncRNA from 1 species
UGUUGCAUAUCCUCUAAUUCCACUGCAACUUGGUCUAGAGCUUCAACAAGUGCAGUAUGCUCUUCCCUCACCUGAGAAUGUGUGGCAUUAAUUUCUUACAAAAAUACAAGUUCGACAAGAAGAAUGAGUUAAUAAUUCGUCAAACUUUGCUUACCACAGUAGAACCGGUCGCAUGCUCACUUCGUUGGUCAUCCGACAAGAGACCCUUAUCUUAGAUGACCUUCUCGACUCUGGACAACCUCUUAU